rnacentral:rRNA from 1 species
GGGGGGAGCAAGCGUUGUUCGGAAUCACUGGGCGUAAAGGGAGUGUAGGCGGUCCGSUAAGUGGGACGUGAAAUGCCCGGGCUCACCCCGGGACCUGCAUCCCAUACUGGCGAGCUUGAGUCCAGGAGAGGGAGGGGGAAUUCCAGGUGUAGCGGUGAAAUGCGUAGAUAUCUGGAGGAACACCGGUGGCGAAGGCGCCCUCCUGGCCCGGUAUUGACGCUGAAGCUCGAAAGCUAGGGGAGCAAACGGGAUUAGAUACCCCGGUAGUCCUAGCCGUAAACGAUGAUCACUAGGUGUGGGGAGYAUCGAUCCUUCCAGUGCCGCAGCUAACGCAUUAAGCAAUCCGCCUGGGGAGUACGGCCGCAAGGUUG